ensembl:lncRNA
CUAACUAACUAACUAACUAACUAACUAACUAACUAACUAACUAACUAACUAACUAACUAACUAACUAACUAACUAACUAACUAACUAACUAACUAACUAACUAACUAACUAACUAACCAACCAACCAGCCAGCCCCGGCCCGUCCUGUCCCCGCGGGUGCCGCGGCGCCGGCCCCCGCACGAAGCCGUGGGCUGGCGCUGCCCUACACCCAAUCUCCGGCCAAUCUGUCACGCUUCAUGCCAGUUGUUCUAUUUACGGAACCGUUCAGGGGUUCAGAGCCCUGAGAGCUGAUGCUUCCUGUUCAGCCUGGACUGCCCUGAGGCAUAGACAGCCACACACUGGCCAUCAGCAGUGGCAGCCCUCCCUUCGCCUCUCCUGGGGCACAGGAUUUGAAGAUAAAUUCAUAUUGCGGAGGAUAGGGACCCUCAAGUGUAAGAAAAGCUGUAACAAAAUAUUUAAGAAGUAUGUAUACUGUUGUGGAAGUGAUAAUGCUGACCAAAUGUGGCCUGCAGCCUCAUUAAAUGAAUAAAUGAUUAUAUUUAUAUUAAGGCCUUCUUUUAAUUGAGAAGUGAAAAGGAGAUGUUGAAUAAUCUCCUAUUUCGACAAGGUUUUCAGCUUCCACAUGCUCCAAUUAGUUAAUGAUUUUUUCUUUUCUGUUAUUAUAUGUUCUAUACUAUCAGUAUUUAAGUACGUGGUAUUUAUUACACACAUAAUGGACAUGGUUAUACAGUUUUGCAUAUAGUAUAUAAUUAUGCAAUAUAGAUCUAAUUGUAUUAUGCACUUUCCAUUGCACAUGUAUUCUACAACAAUGCUGAAGUGAGGAGGCCUCCAGCAGGGGCAGUAAAAUGUGUGCACUGUGCAUUUGUGCUUCAGCCCCUCCGCUGCCCAGUCUGUUACAGGUAUGUAUGCACCAGAGAAGCUGAGAUACAGGUAAAAUACUCUACAGAAUGUGACAUGGAAGCAGCCAUUUCUAUGAGCCACUAUUCUGUGAACUGAUUCAUUCUCUUUUGCCCAAACCCUUAAAAAAUGCACUGUGCAUUUGUGCUUCAGCCCCUCCGCUGCCCAGUCUGUUACAGGUAUGUAUGCACCAGAGAAGCUGAGAUACAGGUAAAAUACUCUACAGAAUGUGACAUGGAAGCAGCCAUUUCUAUGAGCCACUAUUCUGUGAACUGAUUCGUUCUCUUUUGCCCAAACCCUUAAAAAAUGUGAGCAUUUCCAAUUAUUUGAUUUUUUUUGUUCUUUUCAUUUUCUAUUAGUUUCUUUCUUUAGUAUAUUGCUAUUAAUGCUAGAAUACAGUGAUGUUUAUAAACUGCUUUUGAUACAUAGAGCCAGAAAAUGAACUACUAUAGAGAACUUAAUCUCAAGUCCCUUUGAUGCAAAACUUAGAGUACAAAACCACAAUACAAGUCAUUAGAAUGCUAUAAUUGCAAGUUUUGCUUAACCAGCAUUGAAGCUAAAUGAAGUUGGGCAAUACUUUAAAAUGCUGUGUUUGAAAACAAUGGAUUUCUCUGUAUUUGCACUUUUCAUCCAAACUUAACCAAAUGUUGCCACAAAAAUGUGGUAGUACCCAGGAUGCUGGAGCACCAGAGUACCAGGGAUCUUUUCUAAGUCUCCUUAAGCACCUGGUAGACAUUAUGUAGCAUUUAUGCUGCUGGCCUGGAUGGGUCAGCAAUGACUGUACCGAGUAUGAGAGUUUGUGCAUCCUGCCCAAAUAUGCUCUUGUGCAGUAGUUGUGAAUAGGCUAGCCAAGGGAUAACGAGAACUUGAACAUCUGAGAAGUAGAGACAGGGAAACACUGCUGCUUUUUACUGAUACUAAAAAUAGUGUGCAUCUCAUUUUGCAUGGUUUACACAGUGAAUGUAAUUUUUUUGGUUUUUUCCCCUGAAGAUCUGUGUAUGAAUUUUCUGGGAAGUAAAGACAUCUAUGUGUCUUAAGGUUUUAUAGUAUUUUAGUACCACUUCAGGUUGCUUUGACAGUGCUCAGUUUUAUACGAUACUGUUGUAUUUGCUUUAAUUCUAUUACAAAUGGAUUAUUAUUAAAUUCUGCUGGUAAUGAAGAUACUAAUUAUUGAUUGGUACUACAUUGGCUGAUAGUUUUAAUCUUGCAUGGAUCAGUGCUCAGUUUUAUACGAUACUGUUGUAUUUGCUUUAAUUCUAUUACAAAUGGAUUAUUAUUAAAUUCUGCUGGUAAUGAAGAUAUUAAUUAUUGAUUGGUACUACAUUGGCUGAUAGUUUUAAUCUUGCAUGGAUUGUAAAAGGCAGAGGGAAUGACAAUCCCAGACAUGUGCACUGCUUCAAAGUGAUUUGCAAGGAACAGCUCAUUAAGUUGUAAAAGGCAGAG